rnacentral:rRNA from 1 species
GACGAACGCUGGCGGCGUGCUUAACACAUGCAAGUCGAACGGAAAGGCCUCUUUCGGGGGGUACUCGAGUGGCGAACGGGUGAGUAACACGUGAGUAACCUGCCCUUGACUUUGGGAUAACUUCAGGAAACUGGGGCUAAUACCGGAUAGGAGCUCCUGCUGCAUGGUGGGGGUUGGAAAGUUUCGGCGGUUGGGGAUGGACUCGCGGCUUAUCAGCUUGUUGGUGGGGUAGUGGCUUACCAAGGCUUUGACGGGUAGCCGGCCUGAGAGGGUGACCGGCCGCAGGGGGACGCGGCUCCGGCCCGGUCGUCUCUGAGAGGCAGCGGGUGGUGCUACUCCACGAUGGGGGGCGGGCUGCUGCAGGGCGGCGUGGUGGGUGAUGGGGGCCUGUGGGGUGCACCCCGGUCCCGCUGCGGACGAUGCUUUGGGGGACGGUGGGGAGGAAAGAAGCACCUGAUAACUACCGGCCAGCGGCCGCGGUAAUAAUCGGAGAGGCACCCGUCUGACC